CUGAGCCUACGGGGGGCAGCAGUGGGGGAUAUUGCACAAUGGGCGCAAGCCUGAUGCAGCGACACCGCGUGAGCGAAGAAGUAUUUCGGUAUGUAAAGCUCUAUCAGCAGGGAAGAAAAUGACGGUACCUGACUAAGAAGCUCCGGCUAAAUACGUGCCAGCAGCCGCGGUAAUACGUAUGGUGCAAGCGUUAUCCGGAAUGACUGGGUGUAAAGGGAGCGUAGACGGUUGUACAAGUCUGAUGUGAAAGCCCACGGCUCAACUGUGGGAGUGCAUUGGAAACUGUAGAACUAGAGUAUCGGAGA
rnacentral:rRNA from 1 species